GGAGAGGUGGCCGAGUUGGCCGAAGGCGCACGCCUGCUAAGCGUGUGUAGGGUAAAACCUACCGAGGGUUCGAAUCCCUCCCUCUCCGCCA
rnacentral:tRNA from 1 species